CCUACGGGAGGCAGCAGUGGGGAAUCUUGCACAAUGGGCGCAAGUCUGAUGGAGCAACGCCGCGUGAGUGAAGAAGGGUUUCGGCUCGUAAAGCUCUGUUGGUAGUGAAGAAAGAUAGGGGUAGUAACUGCCCUUUAUUUGACGGUAAUUACUUAGAAAGUCACGGCUAACUACGUGCCAGCAGCCGCGGUAAUACGUAGGUGGCAAGCGUUGUCCGGAUUUAUUGGGCGUAAAGCGAGUGCAGGCGGUUCAGUAAGUCUGAUGUGAAAGCCUUCGGCUCAACCGGAGAAUUGCAUCAGAAACUGGUGGACUUGAGUGCAGAAGAGGAGAGUGGAAUUCCAUGUGUAGCGGUGGAAUGCGUAGAUAUAUGGAAGAACACCAGUGGCGAAGGCGGCUCUCUGGUCUGCAACUGACGUUGAGGCUCGAAAGCAUGGGUAGCGAACAGGAUUAGAUACCCUUGUAGUC
rnacentral:rRNA from 1 species